rnacentral:rRNA from 1 species
AUUGAACGCUGGCGGCAGGCUUAACACAUGCAAGUCGAACGAGUGGCGGACGGGUGAGUAAUGCUUGGGAAUCUAGCUUAUGGAGGGGGAUACCUACGGGAAACUGUAGCUAAUCCCGCUUACCCUAGUAUGCGCCCACGUGGGAUUAGGUAUUUGGUGAGGUAAAGGCUCACCAAGCCGACGAUCUCUAGCUGGUCUGAGAGGAUGACCAGCCACACUGGGACUGAGACACGGCCCAGACUCCUACGGGAGGCAGCAGUGGGGAAUAUUGCGCAAUGGGGGCAACCUGACGCAGCCAUGCCGCGUGAAUGAAGAAGGCCUUCGGGUUGUAAAGUUCUUUCGGUAGCGAGGCGUUAACUACAGAAGAAGCACCGGCUAACUCCGUGCCAGCAGCCGCGGUAAUUC